rnacentral:rRNA from 1 species
GAUGCAACGCGAACAACCUUACCUACCCUUGACAUGUCCAGAAGGCUGCUGAAAGGCAGUUGUGCCCGCAAGGGAAUUGGAACACAGGUGCUGCAUGGCUGUCGUCAGCUCGUGUCGUGAGAUGUUGGGUUAAGUCCCGCAACGAGCGCAACCCUUGUCCUUAGUUGCUACGCAAGGGCACUCUAAGGAGACUGCCGGUGACAAACCGGAGGAAGGUGGGGAUGACGUCAAGUCCUCAUGGCCCUUAUGGGUAGGGCUUCACACGUCAUACAAUGGUCGGUACAGAGGGUCGCCAACCCGCGAGGGGGAGCCAAUCCCAGAAAGCCGAUCGUAGUCCGGAUCGCAGUCUGCAACUCGACUGCGUGAAGUCGGAAUCGCUAGUAAUCGCGGAUCAGCAUGUCGCGGUGAAUACGUUCCCGGGUCUUGUACACACCGCCCGUCACACCAUGGGAGUGGAAUCCGCCAGAAGUAGGUAGUCUAACCGCGAGGGGGACGCUUACCACGGUAGGUUUCAUGACUGGGGUGAAGUCGUAAUCAAGGUAGCCGUA